rnacentral:rRNA from 1 species
GGGCCCGCACAAGCGGUGGAGCAUGUGGUUCAAUUCGACGCAACGCGAAGAACCUUACCUGGGCUAGACAACGGUGGACCGUCCUAGAAAUAGGAUUUUCCCUUCGGGGACUGCCGGUUCAGGUGCUGCAUGGCUGUCGUCAGCUCGUGCCGUGAGGUGUUGGGUUAAGUCCCGCAACGAGCGCAACCCUCGCCCUUAGUUGCCACCAUUCAGUUGGGCACUCUAAGGGGACUGCCGGCGUUAAGCCGGAGGAAGGUGGGGACGACGUCAAGUCAUCAUGGCCCUUAUGUCCAGGGCCACACACGUGCUACAAUGGGCGGUACAAAGGGUCGCUAACCUGCGAGGGGGAGCCAAUCCCAAAAAGCCGCUCUCAGUUCGGAUUGGAGUCUGCAACUCGACUCCAUGAAGUUGGAAUCGCUAGUAAUCGCGGAUCAGAACGCCGCGGUGAAUACGUUCCCGGGCCUU